rnacentral:lncRNA from 10 species
GGGCGAGUGUGAGCGCGAGUGUGCGCACGCCGCGGGAGCCUCUCUGCCCUCUCCUCGCACCCUGCUCAGGGCAUCUGAAGAGCCUGGAAACGUGAACAGGCUUGAAGUAUGGCAUGUUGCAAAGAUGGUUUCUGCCAAGAAGGUACCCGCGAUCGCUCUGUCCGCCGGGGUCAGUUUCGCCCUCCUGCGCUUCCUGUGCCUGGCGGUUUGUUUAAACGAAUCCCCAGGACAGAACCAAAAGGAGGAGAAAUUGUGCACAGAAAAUUUCACCCGCAUCCUGGACAGUUUGCUCGAUGGUUAUGACAACAGGCUGCGUCCUGGAUUUGGGGGUAUGAACGAUUUCAAACGCGCAAGUGUGUCCUGUCUGUCCCUCUCUUGGUCUUCCUGUCUGUCUGUCUGUGGGAAUAUCAUUAGGUAUGCCUCACGUGCAAAAAUAAAUCUCUCUCUCUUUCUAUCUCUCCUCUCUUGGUGAGACCUAUGACAAGAA